AAGAAAGUGACCCCCGCCCCGGGGAGGGGCAACGCUAAUAGACCGACGCGAAAACAAGUUCCACGAAGAAGAACCCAGCGUACUGGAAAGAGCCCCCGUUCGCGAGCGGCAA
rnacentral:sRNA from 1 species